rnacentral:rRNA from 1 species
UGGGGAAUAUUGGACAAUGGACCAAGAGUCUGAUCCAGCAAUUCUGUGUGCACGAUGAAGUUUUUCGGAAUGUAAAGUGCUUUCAGUUGGGAAGAAAAAAAUGACGGUACCAACAGAAGAAGUGACGGCUAAAUACGUGCCAGCAGCCGCGGUAAUACGUAUGUCACGAGCGUUAUCCGGAUUUAUUGGGCGUAAAGCGCGUCUAGGUGGUUAUGUAAGUCUGAUGUGAAAAUGCAGGGCUCAACUCUGUAUUGCGUUGGAAACUGUAUAACUAGAGUACUGGAGAGGUAAGCGGAACUACAAGUGUAGAGGUGAAAUUCGUAGAUAUUUGUAGGAAUGCCGAUGGGGAAGCCAGCUUACUGGACAGAUACUGACGCUGAAGUGCGAAAGCGUGGGUAGCAAACAGGAUUAGAUACCCUGGUAGUCCACGCCGUAAACGAUGAUUACUAGGUGUUGGGGGUCGAACCUCAGCGCCCAAGCAAACGCGAUAAGUAAUCCGCCUGGGGAGUACGUACGCAAGUAUG